rfam:Nestor notabilis contig86180, whole genome shotgun sequence.
GCCGGGCGUGGUGGCGUGCGCCUGUAGUCCCAGCUACUCGGGAGGCUGAGCCCGCCGGAUCGCUUGAGCCCGGGAGUUCUGGGCUGCACUGCGCUAUGCCGAGCGGGCGUCCGCGCUAAGGCCGGCAUCAAUAUGGUGAGCCCCGGGGAGCUGGGGCACACCAGGU